GACAGAGGGUGCAAACGUUGUUCGGAAUUACUGGGCGUAAAGCGCGUGUAGGCGGCUAUGUAAGUCGGGCGUGAAAUCCCAUGGCUCAACCAUGGAAGUGCACCCGAAACUGCGUAGCUAGAGUCCUGGAGAGGAAGGUGGAAUGCUUGGUGUAGAGGUGAAAUUCGUAGAUAUCAAGCGGAACACCGGUGGCGAAGGCGGCCUUCUGGACAGUGACUGACGCUGAGACGCGAAAAGCGUGGGGAGCAAACAGG
rnacentral:rRNA from 1 species